GGAGAGGCCUCCAGUGCACCUCGUCAGCUGCACUCAGCUCUUAAAUGCAGCUAUUCACAGAGGGCCCAGGCUCUCCCCUGCCCUGUGACACUACGUGGGACACACACCUCCACAGGGAAUUUGAAGAAUCUCCAGGAGGGCCAGAGAGUAGACUUGGAUGCCACCCAGCCAGCAAUAGAGAAGUUGGGACCACCCAGCCAGGGACAAGGCCACACCUCAGCCAUCACCACCCACAAGCAACGCAGCAUGUAUGAGCUGGGACAGGACACCAGAAACUACCUCAUGAUUGCUCCGGAAGAAGCAGCUGCAGCCUUUGGACGAACAGGUCCUAAAGAGCUAUGGAAACAGCAUCGUGGAAACAGCACGAUACAGUUAUUGAAUGACUGGUCUGGGCCAAGCAUUAUUCUCGGCGCUGGGGAUGCAGCAGGGGGCCUGGAUCAUACUCAAGGUCACUAGAUACUUGUUACAUGAGUGAAUGAAGUCAUUCAGUACUCAUUGGCUCCACUGGGCUCUGACUUGCUGGGCAUGACAAGCCCACCAGGGAGCCCUGGAUAUCCCUCCUCUUUCCAAGCAGCUGGGGAAGCUGGUUGCCCUGGAAACCUGUUUUAGGUGGCAGCAUCUUCCUCCAGGAGGUCGAGGUGUCUCCUGGACCUUAGAGACUCCAGGACACAGGACAGAGCUCUGAACUGUGGAGCCGGGAAACCUGGUUCCAGUCUCAGCCCAGAUUUACCAGCCGUAGACUUGGCCAAGUCACUCACAAAACCCAAAGGGUGAGGCAGAGCUGGCCCUGCCUGCAUGGCAGGGAGAUUUUGAGAAGCAUGAAGAGAGUCAGGAAGUGCCUGGGGAUCGAAUCCACCCAGCAGUGCAAGGCAUUGCUCUCCCAAUUCUCCAUUGGGAAAAAAAAAUCCAGACAAAGACAGUACAGAGAAUAUGGUAGCCAAUACUGCAGCAGUCACCACCCGGAAAAACAGACACUAAUAUAAUAACUUGUGAUUUUUGCUUCAUAUCUCUGUGGCAUAAAACCAUGACACAUAAAGUUUAUGUCCCCCUUUAACCAUUCCUCAAUGCUAUUCCCCUCCUCUCUCCCCCUCCUCAACGGCAACCACUGAUAUGUUCGCUCUAUUCUGUGCUUUUCAUAUUUUAAAUAUAUUGUUUAUGGGAAUGAUCAUAUAUAAGAAA
rnacentral:lncRNA from 1 species